rnacentral:rRNA from 1 species
GAUGAACGCUGGCGGCGUGCCUAAUACAUGCAAGUCGAGCGCACGGACGAGAAGUUUGCUUUCCUGAUGUUUGCGGCAGACGGGUGUGUCACAUAUGGAUCCCCUCCGUUUACGACUGGGAUAACUUCGGGACGCUGUCGCUAAUCCCGGAUAAUCUUUUGUUCCGCAUUGUUCAUAAAAGAAAGACGGUCUUUCUGUUACUUAUAGAUGGAUCCGCGCUUCAUUAGCUAGUUGGUAAGGUAACGCCUUACAAAGACAAUGAUGCAUAGCCGACCUGAGAGGGUGAUCGGCCACCCUGGAACUGGAACACGGUCAAAACUCCUACGGGAGGCAGCAGUAGGGAAUCUUCCGCAAUGGGCGAAAGCCGGACGGAGCAACGCCGCGGGAGGGAUGAAGGUCUUCGGAUCGUAAGACUCGGUUAUUAGGGAAGAACAUAUGGGUAAGUAACUGUGCACAUCUUGACGGUACCUAAUCAGAAAGCCACGGCUAACUACGUG